rnacentral:rRNA from 1 species
UACGGAGGGGCGAGCGUUAUUCGGAAUUAUUGGGCGUAAAGAGCUCGUAGGCGGUUUGUCGCGUCUGCUGUGAAAACCUAAGGCUCAACCUUGGGCUUGCAGUGGGUACGGGCAGACUAGAGUGCGGUAGGGGUGACUGGAAUUCCUGGUGUAGCGGUGGAAUGCGCAGAUAUCAGGAGGAACACCGAUGGCGAAGGCAGGUCACUGGGCCGCAACUGACGC